UUAAGCGACUAAGCGUACACGGUGGAUGCCCUGGCAGUCAGAGGCGAUGAAGGACGUGCUAAUCUGCGAAAAGCGCCGGCGAGGUGAUAUGAACCCUUGACCCGGCGAUGUCCGAAUGGGGAAACCCAGUGCAAUCCGUUGCACUAUCGUUAACUGAAUACAUAGGUUAACGAGGCGAACCGGGGGAACUGAAACAUCUAAGUACCCCGAGGAAAAGAAAUCAACCGAGAUUCCCCCAGUAGCGGCGAGCGAACGGGGAGCAGCCCGGAGUCUGAAUCAGCUUGUGUGUUAGUGGAACGGUCUGGAAAGUCCGACGGUACAGGGUGAUAGUCCCGUACACGAAAGCACACAUGCUGUGAACUCGAAGAGUAGGGCGGGACACGUGGUAUCCUGUCUGAAUAUGGGGGGACCAUCCUCCAAGGCUAAAUACUCCUGACUGACCGAUAGUGAACCAGUACCGUGAGGGAAAGGCGAAAAGAACCCCGGCGAGGGGAGUGAAAAAGAACCUGAAACCGUGUACGUACAAGCAGUGGGAGCCUCUUUAUGGGGUGACUGCGUACCUUUUGUAUAAUGGGUCAGCGACUUAUAUUCUGUAGCAAGGUUAACCGUAUAGGGGAGCCGAAGGGAAACCGAGUCUUAACUGGGCGUUAAGUUGCAGGGUAUAGACCCGAAACCCGGUGAUCUAGCCAUGGGCAGGUUGAAGGUUGGGUAACACUAACUGGAGGACCGAACCGACUAAUGUUGAAAAAUUAGCGGAUGACCUGUGGCUGGGGGUGAAAGGCCAAUCAAACCGGGAGAUAGCUGGUUCUCCCCGAAAGCUAUUUAGGUAGCGCCUCGUGAACUCAUCUUCGGGGGUAGAGCACUGUUUCGGCUAGGGGGCCAUCCCGGCUUACCAACCCGAUGCAAACUACGAAUACCGAAGAAUGUUAUCACGGGAGACACACGGCGGGUGCUAACGUCCGUCGUGAAGAGGGAAACAACCCAGACCGCCAGCUAAGGUCCCAAAGUCAUGGUUAAGUGGGAAACGAUGUGGGAAGGCACAGACAGCCAGGAUGUUGGCUUAGAAGCAGCCAUCAUUUAAAGAAAGCGUAAUAGCUCACUGGUCGAGUCGGCCUGCGCGGAAGAUGUAACGGGGCUAAACCAUGCACCGAAGCUGCGGCAGCGACACUAUGUGUUGUUGGGUAGGGGAGCGUUCUGUAAGCCGUUGAAGGUGUGCUGUGAGGCAUGCUGGAGGUAUCAGAAGUGCGAAUGCUGACAUAAGUAACGAUAAAGCGGGUGAAAAGCCCGCUCGCCGGAAGACCAAGGGUUCCUGUCCAACGUUAAUCGGGGCAGGGUGAGUCGACCCCUAAGGCGAGGCCGAAAGGCGUAGUCGAUGGGAAACAGGUUAAUAUUCCUGUACUUGGUGUUACUGCGAAGGGGGGACGGAGAAGGCUAUGUCAGCCGGGCGACGGUUGUCCCGGUUUAAGCAUGUAGGCGGAGGUUCCAGGUAAAUCCGGUACCUUUUAACGCUGAGGUGUGAUGACGAGGCACUACGGUGCUGAAGUGAUAAAUGCCCUGCUUCCAGGAAAAGCCUCUAAGCAUCAGGUAACACGAAAUCGUACCCCAAACCGACACAGGUGGUCAGGUAGAGAAUACCAAGGCGCUUGAGAGAACUCGGGUGAAGGAACUAGGCAAAAUGGUGCCGUAACUUCGGGAGAAGGCACGCUGAUGUGUAGGUGAAGCCCCUGCGGGCGGAGCUGAAAUCAGUCGAAGAUACCAGCUGGCUGCAACUGUUUAUUAAAAACACAGCACUGUGCAAACACGAAAGUGGACGUAUACGGUGUGACGCCUGCCCGGUGCCGGAAGGUUAAUUGAUGGGGUUAGCGGCAACGCGAAGCUCUUGAUCGAAGCCCCGGUAAACGGCGGCCGUAACUAUAACGGUCCUAAGGUAGCGAAAUUCCUUGUCGGGUAAGUUCCGACCUGCACGAAUGGCGUAAUGAUGGCCAGGCUGUCUCCACCCGAGACUCAGUGAAAUUGAACUCGCUGUGAAGAUGCAGUGUACCCGCGGCAAGACGGAAAGACCCCGUGAACCUUUACUAUAGCUUGACACUGAACACUGGUCCUUGAUGUGUAGGAUAGGUGGGAGGCUUUGAAGCGUGGACGCCAGUCUGCGUGGAGCCAACCUUGAAAUACCACCCUUUAAUGGCUGGUGUUCUAACGUGGACCCGUAAUCCGGGUUGCGGACAGUGUCUGGUGGGUAGUUUGACUGGGGCGGUCUCCUCCCAAAGAGUAACGGAGGAGCACGAAGGUUGGCUAAUCCUGGUCGGACAUCAGGAGGUUAGUGCAAUGGCAUAAGCCAGCUUGACUGCGAGCGUGACGGCGCGAGCAGGUGCGAAAGCAGGUCAUAGUGAUCCGGUGGUUCUGAAUGGAAGGGCCAUCGCUCAACGGAUAAAAGGUACUCCGGGGAUAACAGGCUGAUACCGCCCAAGAGUUCAUAUCGACGGCGGUGUUUGGCACCUCGAUGUCGGCUCAUCACAUCCUGGGGCUGAAGUAGGUCCCAAGGGUAUGGCUGUUCGCCAUUUAAAGUGGUACGCGAGCUGGGUUUAGAACGUCGUGAGACAGUUCGGUCCCUAUCUGCCGUGGGCGCUGGAGAAUUGAGGGGGGCUGCUCCUAGUACGAGAGGACCGGAGUGGACGCAUCACUGGUGUUCGGGUUGUCAUGCCAAUGGCACUGCCCGGUAGCUAAAUGCGGAAGAGAUAAGUGCUGAAAGCAUCUAAGCACGAAACUUGCCCCGAGAUGAGUUCUCCCUGAGACUUUAAGUCUCCUGAAGGAACGUUGAAGACGACGACGUUGAUAGGUCGGGUGUGUAAGCGCAGCGAUGCGUUGAGCUAACCGAUACUAAUGAACCGUGAGGCUUAACCUU
rnacentral:rRNA from 1 species